rnacentral:rRNA from 1 species
GACGAACCGAGCGAACGUUGUUCGGAAUCACUGGGCUUAAAGGGUGCGUAGGCGGGCUGCCAAGUUUGAGGUGAAAUCCUCCGGCUCAACCGGGGAAGUGCCUUGAAUACUGGCGGUCUGGAGGGAGGUAGGGGCGUGCGGAACUAACGGUGGAGCGGUGAAAUGCGUUGAUAUCGUUAGGAACUCCGGUGGCGAAGGCGGCACGCUAGACCUCUUCUGACGCUGAGGCACGAAAGCCAGGGGAGCAAACAGG